UUCCGGGGUAGCUCAGUCGGUAGAGCAAGUGGCUGUUAACCACUGGGUCGUGGGUUCGAGUCCCUCCCCCGGAGG
rnacentral:tRNA from 1 species